rnacentral:lncRNA from 1 species
AGACUCCUCUUCUGCAUAUAAUUGCUUUUUGUUCCCAAGGAUUCCUUCAUACAUUUGCACUUAUCCUCCUAAGAUGUUGCUCCAAUAAUAAAAUCCUGUAAUGCAUACUUAGCAAUCAGACUCUUGGAAUACUUCCUACAGUUCCUGUAAUAUAACAAAAUCAGCAUGUUUGUUUUUGUAGUCAAGCAAAAAAGAUUACAUCAAUUUAACAUGUUUAAUCUCCAAUGAUUUAUCAAACUUAUAAAAGGAGAUAACUGUAUUGUAUUUUAAGCUUCGACAUGAUCAAUUGGUG